GAAAGUAAGAAAGGGCGUAUGGCGGAUGCCUAGGCUCACGGAGGCGAUGAAGGACGUGAUAAGCUGCGAUAAGCUUCGGGUAGGUGCAAAUAACCUUUGAUCCGAAGAUUUCCGAAUGGGACAACCUAGCCGUCUGAAGGACGGUUACUCUUACCAAUGUAAGAGAGCUAACGCAGGGAACUGAAACAUCUUAGUACCUGUAGGAAGAGAAAAUAAAUGAAUGAUUCCCCCAGUAGUGGCGAGCGAACGGGGAACAGCCCAAACCGUUGACGUCGCAAGGCGCCAGCGGGGUUGUAGGACCGCGACAUUGUAUGCAAAUCGUGAACAGAACACUUUGGAAAAUGUGACCAUAGACGGUGAUAGUCCAGUAUGUGAAGCGAAAUGCAGCAUAGCGGUAUCCUGAGUAACGCGGGACACGAGGAAUCCUGCGCGAAUCUGCCGGGACCAUCCGGUAAGGCUAAAUACUCCCGUGAGACCGAUAGCGAACGAGUACUGUGAAGGAAAGGUGAAAAGAACCCCGAGCAGGGGAGUGAAAUAGUUCCUGAAACCAUACGCCUACAAGCGGUCGGAGCAUCUUACGAUGUGACGGCGUGCCUUUUGCAUAAUGAUCCUACGAGUUACCGUCACUGGCGAGGUUGAGUGUCAUGAGACACGUAGCCGCAGUGAAAGCGAGCCUGAACAGGGCGCAUAGUCAGUGGGGGUAGACGCGAAACCAAGUGAUCUACACUUGGCCAGGAUGAAGUCCCGGUAACACGGGAUGGAGGUCCGCACCAAUAAGCGUUGAAAAGCUUCUGGAUGAGCCGAGUGUAGGAGUGAAAGGCCAAUCAAACUUGGAGAUAGCUCGUACUCCCCGAAAGGCAUUUAGGUGCCGCGUCGGAUGGUCACCGUGAGAGGUAGAGCGACCGAUAGGACAAGAGGGCUUCACCGCCUAUCGAGUCCUGACGAACUCCGAAUGCUCACGGUCUGCAGUCCGGCAGUAAGGGGGCGGGUGCUAAGGUCCGUCCCCGAGAGGAGAAGAAUCCAGACCGCCGUCUAAGGUCCCGGAGUUCUGCCUGAGUUAGUCUAACGAAGUCUGGUCCCUAUGACAGCUAGGAUGUUGGCUUGGAAGCAGCCAUUCAUUCAAAGAGUGCGUAACAGCUCACUAGUCGAGGGUCCGGGCAUGGAUAAUAAUCGGGUAUAAGGCAGACACCGAAGGCGCGGGAUAGCAUUUAAGAAAGUAUCGGUAGGGGAGCAUACUCACAGCGUGGAAUGGUGUACGUAAGUUAUCCUGGAGCGGUGAGUAAAGCAAAUGUAGGAAUAAGUAACGAUAAGGAGGGUUAGAUUCCCUCCCGCUGUAAGACCAAGGUUUCCCGGGCAAUGCCAAUCAGCCCGGGGUCAGUCGGGUCCUAAGUCUAAGCCGAACGGCGAUGGCGAUGGCAGAGACGGUUAAUAUUCCGUCACUGCCGCAUGGGGCGACGUGGAGACGGAGCAGUGAAACCACCGCGGGGCGACGGAAGUCCCCGUUGAAGAGUGUAGGUGUUGAGGAUGGCAGGCAAAUCCACCGUCCGAGCUGAACUUGAUAGUAUGGAGUCUUCUUCGGAAGAAUCCAAUAGUGUGGGUAAUCAUACUCCCGAGAAAAUCCGCUAAGCUUAACCCAUGCGGCACCCGUACCGCAAACGGACACACGUGGUCGGGUAGAACAUACUAAGGCGUUGAGAGAUUCAUGGUUAAGGAACUAGGCAAAUUGACCCUGUAACUUCGGGAUAAAGGGUCCUCGUGAUGAGCGAGGCGCAGAGAAUAGGUCCAGGCAACUGUUUAACAAAAACACAGGGCUGUGCAAAAUUUGAAGAUGAAGUAUACAGCCUGACACCUGCCCGGUGCCGGAAGGUUAAGAGGAGAGCUAAUCGCAAGAGAAGGCUUGAAUUGAAGCCCCGGUAAACGGCGGCCGUAACUAUAACGGUCCUAAGGUAGCGAAAUUCCUUGUCGGGU
rnacentral:rRNA from 1 species